UCUGGCGAUGAUGACACACUUGCCCUCUCUGAGAACAGCGUUUGCUAAUGAGAGAAGUGUUACAUACUCAGCGGAGCUGAGCCAGA
ensembl:snoRNA